AUUGAACGCUGGCGGCAUGCUUUACACAUGCAAGUCGAACGGUAACAGGCCUUCGGGUGCUGACGAGUGGCGAACGGGUGAGUAAUGCAUCGGAACGUGCCCAAUCGUGGGGGAUAACGUAGCGAAAGUUACGCUAAUACCGCAUAAGCCCUGAGGGGGAAAGUGGGGGACCGCGAGGCCUCACGCGAAUGGAGCGGCCGAUGUCAGAUUAGCUAGUUGGUGGGGUAAAGGCCCACCAAGGCGACGAUCUGUAGCGGGUCUGAGAGGAUGAUCCGCCACACUGGAACUGAGACACGGUCCAGACUCCUACGGGAGGCAGCAGUGGGGAAUUUUGGACAAUGGGCGCAAGCCUGAUCCAGCCAUGCCGCGUGAGUGAAGAAGGCCUCGGUU
rnacentral:rRNA from 1 species